AACGAACGCUGGCGGCAUGCCUAACACAUGCAAGUCGAACGAAGCCUUCGGGCUUAGUGGCGCACGGGUGCGUAACGCGUGGGAAUCUGCCCCUUGCUUCGGAAUAACAGUUAGAAAUGAUUGCUAAUACCGGAUGAAGUCUUCGGACCAAAGAUUUAUCGGCAAGGGAUGAGCCCGCGUAGGAUUAGGUAGUUGGUGGGGUAAAGGCCUACCAAGCCGACGAUCCUUAGCUGGUCUGAGAGGAUGAUCAGCCACACUGGGACUGAGACACGGCCCAGACUCCUACGGGAGGCAGCAGUGGGGAAUAUUGGACAAUGGACGCAAGUCUGAUCCAGCAAUGCCGCGUGAGUGAUGAAGGCCUUAGGGUUGUAAAGCUCUUUUACCAGGGAUGAUAAUGACAGUACCUGGAGAAUAAGCUCCGGCUAACUCCGUG
rnacentral:rRNA from 1 species